rnacentral:rRNA from 1 species
GCUGGCGGCGUGCCUAAUACAUGCAAGUCGAGCGAAUGGAUUGAGAGCUUGCUCUCAAGAAGUUAGCGGCGGACGGGUGAGUAACACGUGGGUAACCUGCCCAUAAGACUGGGAUAACUCCGGGAAACCGGGGCUAAUACCGGAUAACAUUUUGAACUGCAUGGUUCGAAAUUGAAAGGCGGCUUCGGCUGUCACUUAUGGAUGGACCCGCGUCGCAUUAGCUAGUUGGUGAGGUAACGGCUCACCAAGGCAACGAUGCGUAGCCGACCUGAGAGGGUGAUCGGCCACACUGGGACUGAGACACGGCCCAGACUCCUACCGGAGGCAGCAGUAGGGAAUCUUCCGCAAUGGACGAAAGUCUGACGGAGCAACGCCGCGUGAGUGAUGAAGGCUUUCGGGUCGUAAAACUCUGUUGUUAGGGAAGAACAAGUGUUAGUUGAAUAAGCUGGCACCUUGACGGUACCUAACCAGAAAGCCACGGCUAAUUACGUGCCAGCAGCCGCGGUAAUACGUAGGUGGCAAGCGUUAUCCGGAAUUAUUGGGCGUAAAGCGCGCGCAGGUGGUUUCUUAAGUCUGAUGUGAAAGCCCCCGGCUCAACCGUGGAGGGUCAUUGGAAACUGGGAGACUUGAGUGCAGAAGAGGAAAGUGGAAUUCCAUGUGUAGCGGUGAAAUGCGUAGAGAUAUGGAGGAACACCAGUGGCGAAGGCGACUUUCUGGUCUGUAACUGACACUGAAGCGCGAAAGCGUGGGGAGCAAACAGGAUUAGAUACCCUGGUAGUCCACGCCGUAAACGAUGAGUGCUAAGUGUUAGAGGGUUUCCGCCCUUU